AGAUGAGAUUUCGGAGGAAUUGAAAGAAAAGGCCAAGACUGAAGAUGAGAAAAAGGAUGAAGAAAAAGAACACCCCAAAGGAAUUUCUGAAUUUUGGUUAACUGUUUUUAAGAAUGUUGACUUGCUCAGUGAUAUGGUUCCGGAACAUGAUGAACCUAUUCUGAAGCACUUGAAAGAUAUUAAAGUGAAGUUCUCAGAUGCUGGCCAGCCUAUGAGUUUUGUCUUAGAAUUUCACUUUGAGCCCAAUGAAUAUUUUACAAAUGAAGUGCUGACAAAGACAUAUAGGAUGAGGUCAGAACCAGAUGAUUCUCAUCCCUUUUCUUUUGAUGGACCAGAAAUUAUGGGUUGAACAGGGUGCCAGAUAGAUUGGAAAAAAGGAAAGAAUGUCACUUUGAAAACCAUCAAGAAGAAGCAGAAACACAAGGGACACGGGACAGUUCGUACUGUGACUAAAACAGUUUCCAAUGACUCUUUCUUUAAUUUUUUUGCCCCUCCUGAAGUUCCCGAGAGUGGAGAUCUGGAUGAUGAUGCUGAAGCUAUCCUUGCUGCAGACUUUGAAAUUGGUCACUUUUUACGUGAGCGUAUAAUCCCAAGAUCAGUGUUAUACUUUACUGGAGAAGCUAUUGAAGAUGAUGAUGAUGAUUAUGACGAAGAAGGUGAAGAAGCGGAUGAGGGUUAUCAGCUCUUUGAAGAAGUCAAAAGCUGCAGUAAACUUUUUCAACGUUGGCUGCAGUAACUAUUUUCAAUAAAAGCUGUCUGGAUGUCAAAAAAAAAAAAAAAA